UCUACAUCCGAGGACACGCCGAG
rnacentral:misc_RNA from 1 species